UGCGCCGAUAGUGUAGUGGUUAUCACUAGGCGUUGCCAACGCCUAAACCCGGGUUCGAGUCCCGGUCGGCGCAUCC
rnacentral:tRNA from 1 species